UGGAUAGCUCACUUGGUUAGAGUGUGGUGCUAAUAAUGCCAAGGUUUCAGGUUUUAUUCCUGUAUGGGACAA
rnacentral:tRNA from 1 species